CCAGAAUCUAUGCCCAGGACUUGCCAUAGUACCAGAGGACAUCCAAAGAGUUUUCAGAGUUUUGAGGAAGAGAAUUUCACAUAUAGAGAGUUCCUACUCUAUGGCUUCAACUCAGUGCAGUGAUUAUCAGAUACUUCAGAGAACAGCUUCAGGGAGUGGCGGCUUCUGGUUUCCCAGGUUAUAAUAAGAAGGGCAUUCAUGGAAAAGCAUAGAUGCCACAUCGUGACAUUCAGGAAACAGAGAGGCAGAGAAUAAAGCUAGGCAACUAGGAAGAAAGAGAGAAGAUCCAAAGACAAGAUGUACUCCACAAAGUUGGACUCUCUGUGCCCUACUUCCUGUAAAAAUAAUGCAUACAAUGCUACCUCCCUCCUGUAACAGUUCUUCCUGCUUUGAACAUGAAAAUGAUUCCUGGAGCUGCAGCAACCAUUUUGAGACUAUGAGGUGAUUGAAGGAUGAAAAUGAGAAAUAGUAGGAGAAAGAUGAACGGUGUGUCUUUUAUCUGUAAAGACAUUUGUGCUGCUGUGACAAGCGUCCUUGAAACCUAGUGGGCAGUGAAGGCUGAGCUCGUAGCUGUCACGUGGCACGUCGCUCAUCACCAUGGCACAGAGAAGAAAACUUGGCAGAAACACUCACUCUUAAAGGUUCCUGCCCAGAAAUAGCACAAGCUACAUCUGCUCCCAUUUCCAGUGGCCAAAGCAAGUUACAUAACUACACCUAACAUCAAGAGGGAAAGGAGCAAAAUUCUACCAUGUGUCAAAAAGGAAGAAAAUCAAAACACUGAUCAACAGUUUCGAUGAACAGUUACAUUUUUUCUUAUGUGAGCAAAAAUAAAAACCUGUUUGUUUGA